GUGCAAGAAUAAGAUUUAUGGCUGAAGUGGCUUGGUGUCUUGAUUCCCUAUUCUAGCAUUCUCAGAAGGAUCCCAUCCAUUAGACACGCAGAAACUGCAGGGACAUUUGAAUGGUCUUGAUUCCUUCUGAAAAAAAAUGAUGAAAUGGAUUAAUUGGAAUAUUGUACCCCAGAGAAAUGUAAUAAACCCUCAACUAUAAAUUUAGUGCUACCGUGAAGAUAUUUGUGACAGCACGUGAAAGUAUCAACCUAACACCAAGAGUGACCCCUAGUGUAAACUAUGAACUCUGGAUGAUAAUCCUGUCAGGACAGCAAUGUUCUUACUCCUCUCCUGCUGUAAAGCCACUCAUCUUCGAUUUCCCUGAGGACUGCUGCUCCUACAGACUCUCGACGGAG